CAUGUAGGCGGCAUGACAAGUCUGGUGUGAAAUAUCUCGGCUCAACCGAGAAAACGCACUGGAAACUGUCAAGCUUGAGUAUCGGAGGGGAAGCUAGAAUUCCUGGUGUAGGGGUGAAAUCUGUAGAUAUCAGGAAGAAUACCGGUGGCGAAGGCGAGCUUCUGGCCAGAUUCUGACGCUGAGAUGCGAAAGCGUGGGGAGCGAACAGGAUUAGAUACCCUGGUAGUCC
rnacentral:rRNA from 1 species